GUGUGAGCAGAGGAGGGGCAGAGAGAGAGGGAGACACAGAAUCAGAAGCAGGCUCCAGUCUCUGAGCUGUCAGCACAGAGCUCCACGUGGGGCUCAAACUCAUGAAAUAUGAGAUCAUGAUCUGAGCCGAAGUCGGACCCUCAACCGACUGAGCCACCCAGGCGCCCAGGAUCGAAAAAUAUUUUAAUAUGUAGUUUUCAAAUUAGAAAUUGGUGAUUUUAUAAUUUAGAAUUAUAAAAUGUAAGGUAACUAUGUGCCUCUCAGAACAAGAUGAGACCGCAUACAGAGUACAAUUUAGAAUCCCUUUCCAAAACAGUUUCUAUGUGAAUUUCCCCCAAAAGGACCAUGACUGGUCUUGCUUGGCUCACAUGUCCAUUCUCAACCCAUAACUGAACACAAUUAUGUAUUUCCACUUCUGUGGAGGAGGACGUCAUGCCUUUUAAUUGACAGCCUUGCCCCCACUCCCCUCUAACACGUAAAGGCAGUUAUCACAGAGAAGGUAGUGAAUAUCUGCCACAACUCUCAAGAGGCCUAGCAAAAUGGUGGUGUGCUAGAACCUAAAGAGAGAUCUAGCCAAUGAGAAGUUGCCCAUAAUGAGUAUGAUCUAAUUGUAAGAAAAGCGGUAUCGUGGGUUUGAUUUACACUUACCUCCUUUUCUGGGAAAUGAUGUAGAAUGAGAAUUCUAUGCCCCAAAGUGAGUAGAGGCCAAAAUUUUGGUUUGAAAGUAGAGUAUAAUAGAUUUCAGCAUGGAUUGUUUCAAGGACUGGCACGAGAAAAACCCUAAUUGUUCUAGAAUACACCUUGAGUAAGAUGUCCUUGGAUUUGGGGGCAGAUGUUAAAUAUUGUUUUAUGGAUUAAAAUCAUUUAGACAACUGACACAUAUUUUUCUGGCAUUUUAGUGUAUUUGGGGAGAAAGAGAAGACUUAUUUGAACAGUCUUCAACUAUAAGAAUUUACUUCUACCAGUUAUGCCAUGUUCUUCUUGAAAGGAGAUUUAAUGGAUAAAAUGUAUACAUUUUUAGAACUGUAUUUAUUAUACUGCAAUAACUAUCAGUCCAUACCUGAAAUACAAAGUGCUUUUAUAUCUAAAAGUGAGAUGUGCUUUGAUCUAGAACCCUCACAUAUUUUGAGUAUUAUAUUGCUUAUGAAAUUUUGUGUUAAUAUAAUUCUAACUUUCCUCUGUAGUGAGCACAUCUAAGAAGCAAUGAUCAGAAUCCACAGUUACCUGUGGUAAACCGUGGUCCAGAAGGAGAUGAUCCUCUUUGUCAGACGGUCAAUAGUAGCCUAACACCAUGUCACAAUGCCUGCAUCAUUCACUUUGCUUCAUCUCAUCACGUAGGCAUGUUGUCACCUCCCAUCAUCACAAGAAGAAGGGUCCCUGGGAUUUGAAAAAUGCUUCGUUCUCUAUUCAAGAACCAUGAUGACGAUUGUGUUUGUUCUACAGUUUUUUUUUUUUAAUUUGCUGACAAAGUGAAAUAUGGAAUACUGUAUUCGCUUAUUUCAUGUUUGGCUCACAAUGGAUUGAGUUAUAUAAAGUAGGACAUGGACAAAUUGCAAAAACCAGAACAAGCAGGGUCCCUAAUAGUCUUAUAUAACUGCAAACAUUCUACAUCUGCUUUAAUCCAUCAUCUUCUUUGCUCCUCGCAUGAAAUAGUGUGGUUUUUCUCUCUCUGAUUUUUAAGCAAAAGAGAGUUUUCUGGACUGUAAAACUGAAAAACUUUUGAUGGGAAAGUAACUCAAAAAAAAUGCAAAGGGGGAAAUCUCUUCGGGUAUUUCAUUUGUAUGAGUCUAUUAACUCCCAAAGUACACUGCAAGCUGUGAUAAAGCAAAGCUAUUCUAAAUCUUCUUUUGCCUGAACAAGGUGUUUGUGACAAUAUUUCAUUGGCAUGAAAAUAGAGAAGUCAUCCCCAAUGCAUUGAGAUGUGUAAGGAUUUUCACCUAAGUUGGUAAACGAAAGGCUAACAACAAACUAGGCAACAAAGUAAUACUUUUAAUUUUUAAAAAAUGCAGCAACGUGAUUAGCUUAUGUGCCUCUGCAAUGUUUUAGUGUAAUCGCGAAUGUGAUGUUUAUUAGACCGGACUAAAGAAUGCACCGAAUAUCAUGGCUUUUUUUUUCUUUAUUGUAACGAUACUAAUGAAGACAGCUGUUUUUGUCUUGCCUUCUGACAAUAUUUAGAAUUUCUGGUGAAGGGUAGGAAUAAUAAUCCUGAAGUGUCUCAAUGUUUGCAAAAUAUUUGCUACUAAACAUUAUGAAGCCACAGAAAGUGAAAAGGCAAUUAAGAUUCACUAAUGCAACACGUCUUGUUUCAUAUAAGAAAAUCAGACAGCUGAAAGAAAAGGAGUCACCCACUAGAGAGGAUGGGGAAAUUUUACACAUAAAAAUGAAAGCAGUGAUGGUUUAGAAGUGUCUCCAAUAUGUUUUUAUGCAUUAUGGUAUUGAAGAGUCCUUCCAAGUUUGACAAAACUCGAAGUCCUAUUGAAGCUAGAGGAGGGGUGAAUGCUGAUGAUGGGGACAGAAAUAACAGAUUAAACCUUGUCUUGCUUCAUCCCGUGUUCCCUUUUGUGUAAUCUAUAUUGGCAUUUUGUGUCUUCCAGAAGGGUCUCCUGAGCUCCCUAAGGCUCUGCCUGCAACUCCAGAUUGCGGCCUUUUGUAAAUAACGUACAUAAAGAAGGGCUGUUAAACUCUUGUUGAGUUAUUUUUGUUUUGCACUUUGCACCUUCAGUGCAUAUGAGAACUACUCCCACGCCAUUUCCUGACAAACCAGAUCUUGCUGUGAAGGCUGAAAACUUUACUCGGUCGCACCCUAUUUUUAGGACUUGUAAUGAAGAGAAAAUGUGGUGUUAUAACACCCAUCCAAAUGCUGGCGCCCCGGUAGACGACAGCAGCGUUUUAAGAGCUAAUGUAGACAAUUUAUCCAAAAAAGACCAAAUUGUGACCGAUCCUGCAAAUAAACAGACAACAGAUCACUAGGAGUUGGGAUGCGGUCUAGCCAGGGAUUGCAAACGGCCAACUUGGUUCUACUGAAGAUCACAGAUGGCCUAGAACAGCAAAAGCAGUUACCCAGGAACCGGACUUGGAAGGAUGCUAAUUUUAGUAUUAAAAGAGGAGAGUGGAAGUAAAUCCAAAACUCUCUGCUGCUGCUUUGGAAAUCGCAUCUUAAAAUGCCUUCUACUUUCCAAAUAAUAACAGCUAACUUUUAUUGAGUGGUCACUGUAUGCCAGGCAUUUGUCUAUAUGCUUUCCAUAUAUCAGCUCAUGUAAUCCUUAUGACAACCUUCUGAGGGAGGUACUAUUAUGACUAUUAUGACAAGCCAUUGAAAACCUGGCCAAGGUCCCACAGGCAGCCAAUGCAGAAAUCCAGACCCAGGUAGUUCUCUCCACUGCUUGCCUUUCUUCUGACCUUUUUAUUGCCAUGGAGGUCAUUUUCAGAAGCUACCUUUCACUUUCUUGGUAACUUCACGCUCCUUCUUAUCUCUUCUUCACACACUUGCAGGGCGGACAGAUACAGAAGAAAAGGGACAAGCUGGAAUGCGUGCCAGUUACAAAUGUCAAAUGCUGGUGAAAUCCCUACAAAUAGAAGGCCUAUGGUACUUGGUAUUGCAGGGUAUGCUACCGAUGGGCUGCGAACAUGGCUAUUAUCUUGUUGAGUCCAUGCUGGUUAACCUCUCAGCCUCAGCUCUGUAAACUCCGCCACUGGAAACCCUUGGGGUUCUAUAUCUGAUCAGAUUCUGACCUUUUCCUCUCUUUUCUCCCCAUAGAUUUGCUGUAAGUCUAAACAAACUUAAGCUUCAAGGUCCCUAAAUAAACGGGUCCUAAGUCGAUGAGAAGGAGUCUAACAGUGUGUUCACACGAUCAUACAUUUUAGUAAAAUUGGCAAAAGUAGGUAUUUUACUUGCAAUCGGGUAAGACUGCUGUCUCUUGUGUUUACACUUCCCCAGUGGCAUUGAAGUAGAUUCAGGUAUUUUGGGGAUCGUGUUAAGGAAAAGUUGAGCCAGGGAUCCAUGUAAUUUAAGUAGAAUGGAUUCAAAUUACUGGCUUGCAGUCACUCCUACAUGGUUAUUGCUAGCCGUUCAAGGAGAAAUGGCUUCUAGUGAUGUUCAAACCACCAUUUGCACUGGCUCACACAGGGUCAUCAUGAAAAUACAAGGCCAGAGGUCACAUGCCCCUGUGAAUGCGUGCUAUGCCACCCAGCAUGGGAGUGUAUGGCUAGUGGAGAAGAGUGAAUUUUGAAGUGUAUAAAAGCAGAAGCUAGACCAUUCAUUUCCUGAAUGUUGUGAUAUUUGUGGUACUUGUAAGCUAUUUUCAAUUUAUAAUUUAUAAGCCGUUUACGGUUUAUAACUUUUUCUUUUCUAGAUAAAUACCUUCAUGCUAAAGGUUUUAUUCCAACCUUUAUAUACUUUUCCUUAAACAGUCUUCCCCAUACAAAUCGCACAAAUCAAGGCAAAAUAAAAGUUAGCUACGUCUCUGCUCACAGAAGGCUGGUGUGUAAAUCCAGAAAAACAAAUCAUCGAUUUACAACGCUAAAUAUAAAUGCUGAGUGAAGGCUUGCAUUGACCUGUUUAGCAUAUUUUCUUCCUUCUGGGCAGGAGCAAUUCUUCAGAUAUAUUCUUCAAGAUAAAUUCAUUGUUUGUGGAGAACAAGGAAUAAAUGAGCUGAGAGAUUUUCUUUUGAUUUAAAUGUUUGACAGCAGCAAGUUCUGCUGGGUUAAUGCAAUGGUUUUUACAGUGUAGUUCUAGGACCAAGGGCUGGGAAAUGGUUGAAAAAUAAAUUCUCAAGCUUGACUCCAGACCUUCU